UCUCUCUCUCUCUCUCUCUCUCUCUCUCUCUCUCCUACCCUCUUAACUCCCUUCCCCAUGCCCUGAGGCUGGUCCCUCACCGGGAAGGGAUGCUUUGGUAUGGGCCCACGGAGACACCCCCUUCCCCCACACCUCACCACACCUCCGUAGAACAUAUCCUCCCUCUCUUUAUCUGAUCACUCCAAGUAUCUCACAAAAAAACAGACCCUGUGGCUGCCUUUUGUUUCUUUGAGCAAAAUAUCCUCCAGGCUCAUUGAAAAAAUUUAGAUUUUCCCCUUUUAAGCUCCCUACCUGGCUUGGAAAUAGAGGUUGCUUCUCUGCAGCCCCUCAAUCUCCCAGGCAAAAUGGAAAGCUGUGUUCUGACCCAUACAAUUUCAAACCAGAGCAGUCCUACCUGUAAUUCAAGAAAACAAGGUUUCUCGAUGGAGUCCAUUACAGAAAACUACAACUCGCCAAAAUGCAGAGAAAAACUAACGGUGGGGUCCCCAA